rnacentral:lncRNA from 1 species
GAAGAAGUAGGUUUGUUCUACCAUGGAGGCAGGAAGCUGUGCUUCAGGAAUUCAUUCGAAGAGGAGCAAGGCAGGUGGAACAAUUGGAGGUCUUGGUGCCUCCAAGACCAAGAGUAGCUACAGAAAUCCCACCAACCAAACCCUGAUGAGGACAAAGCAACUGAGGACCUCAGUGCUAUGGAGAUGAAGGUCUGAAUCGCCCCAGCAGGCUGACUCAUAUAUGGUUUGCUUCACUAAUCCUUGUGUAUCUUUUUUAGACUUGUCUGGACACCAAGAGGAAUGUGGGAGCCUUUGGAAUGUUUCGAGCAGAGCAGUGACAUGGCCUGACUUAAAAUUUACAGGACAUAGGUGCUAGUUUACAAAUUCACAGAAACAGACUACGAUGAAGAGAAUAGACAAGGGAGGGCAAAGGCAGAGGCAAGAGUUGUCUGGGGGCUGUGGCAAGUAUCUAACCAGAGACAGUGGCGGAUAGGCAGGGAGCAGCAGCGGAAGCAGAGGCAGGAGACUUUCCUGUCUGAUCAGGUGUGGAGCGUGAAGAUAAAAGAUACAGCAAGAUGACCCCAAUGUAUGGAGCCUGAACAACCAGAAGGAUGGUGGUGCUGAGAAUUCCAAGGACCCAGAGAAGAAGGGAGCCACAAGAUUGGAGGAACCUGGGUCUCUGAAUGUCUGUGAGGGACCCACCCUGACACACCCUGUAUCUGAAAGUGAUGUGUGUGAAAAAUAAACAUUUGUGGUGUUAAGUGACU